rnacentral:rRNA from 2 species
UCUGGUGAUUAUGGCUUGAAGGUAACACCCGUUCCCAUACCGAACACGAUGGUUAAGCUUCAAAGCGCCGAUGGUACUGCACUGGAGACGGGGUGGAAGAGUAGGUCGUCGCCGGGU